UGACCCUUUGUCUCCUUAGCUAGAGUCU
rnacentral:piRNA from 1 species